UCCAGGCAUCCAGCCACCGCUAAACGUUCAUGCAUGUUUUGCUUCUAUAAAUAGAGCUACCCCUUGCAUUGCUUGAUUCGACUUUAAUCGAGAUAUACAUACACCCCACAAUACAGAGUUCUCUAGCUUAGAAAAAUAUCGAGGAUGGAGAGAAAAUCUGCUGUGCUAUUCAUUCUGUUGCUUGUCUUCUUAGCUUCUCAGAGGGUGGUGCAUCAAGCCGAGGCAAGAAUGUGCGAGUCACCGAGUCACCAUUUUGAGGGGCCUUGCAUGAAGGAUCACAACUGUGCCAUGGUGUGCAGGACUGAAGGUGGGUUUUCUGGCGGCCAUUGCGUUGGCUUUAGACGCAGAUGUUUCUGCACCAAAGGAUGCUAGUAAUGUUGCUUGUCUAUCGAUGUUGCUGUUCCUUCGUUUUGAUGCUUUUUUUUUAUUAUUAAGCUUCAAUAUGCGAGGUUAUUUUGGUUAAGAGAUAAAUAAUGGGGGAAACAAUUAAUUGUUUGUUGCAAGUUUGAUAAUGUACUAGAAUUUGUUGUCUAUUUCACCUGGACCUCCAGAUCUUGGAAUUGAGCAACCUUUUUUUAGUUUGUUGUAAUGAGGAACUACUGAGCGCUUUUGUUUGGAAAUUAUACAAAAAUAGUACUUUCUCCA